CAUCCCUCCGUGUUUCUCUUCCCUCCAUCCCAGGAAGAGAUCAAGACCAAGAGCAAAGCCACCUUGGUCUGUCUGAUGGAUGAGUUCCACCCGGGCGUCAUCCAGGUCGAAUGGAAGGCCGAUGGCACCACCAUCUCUUCUGGCGUGGAGACCACCAAACCCCUCAAACAGGGGAACAAGUACAUGGCCAGCAGUUACCUGACUCUGAGUGAGUCCGACUGGAAAAGCCACAACAAGUACGCCUGCAAGGUGACCCAUGAAAGCGAGACCAUUGAGAAGGAGGUCAACAGAUCGGAGUGUUCUUGAAGGGUGGAUGUCUCCAUCGUGGCCCUCAUGAGUCCAUCUCCUAGAAAGAAAAAAAACAUGCUUCCUUCAAGGACCCAGAUUUAUUCUCUGAUUCCCAUCUAAUACUAGUUUGGUGGAUAAAGUCCGAUUUCCAUCCCUUGCUGUACUAUUCCCUUAACCUUCCUCAUAUCUGUUCUCAUUGAAACCUCCUUGGUAUGUCAGCUUCUAAUGUUAGCACAUGAAUAAAAGUUGA